GCACGGGUCCAUUCUGCAGAGCGUCGCGAGUGCACCUGGAACCAGCAGAGCCUCCUCGUAACCCGGCAACCAGCCACAGCGGCGACCAAUCGGCUCUCUGCGCGGCUCGGGGCGUCGGGGUCCGGUGGAAGGAUGGAGCUUCAGUCAGAGCUGCUGAAGGAGGGAGGAGACGAGGAAGGAGGACAGAAGGCACCGACGAAGAGGAGCCGAGAAGAAGACGAUGGCCGGGUCUCACCACCCAACAUCCUGGUGACGGAUCAUGGUGUGAAGGUCGCCAGUCACUACAACCGCCUGCAGGAAGUCGGUCUGGCUGCGUAGAAGUCGAAGCAAAAUCUUCUUCAUGAGGAACUUCAACAACUGGCUGAAGAGCGUCUUGAUCGGGGAGAUCCUGGACCAGGUCCGGGGGGCGGGACCUCGGCAAGUCUCUGUGCUGGACCUCGGCUGUGGAAAAGGAGGAGACCUGCUGAAGUGGAGGAGAGGAGGGAUCGACCACCUGGUCUGUGCAG